CUCUCUUCAGGAAUCCCAAGACAAAAUCGAAACCCAAUGCUUCUGAUACAGAUUUGUCGCCACCGAUCUCAAUAGCUAGUCGUGGCUUGCCACCGGCGUCUUUGGAAGAGUUCUUCUCACUCGCUCUCUCUCGUCGACGAUCACUCUUGAGUUUUUUCUCGGACAUUGUGAAAAAUUUAGAGAGAAGGAAGAGAUGGUUGGGGACAAAAUCGCUCACAGCACUUUGAAAGGACCGAGUGUUGUGAAGGAGAUAGUGAUUGGCAUCACGCUCGGCUGGCUGCCGGUAGUCUCUGGAAGAUGCAUCACUGGAACGAGCAGAGGAAAACAAGAGCCUUCUAUGACUUGCUUGAGAAGGGUGAGAUUAGCCGUUGAGUGAAAACCUCUCUAAAUAGUAAGUCUCCUGAUCAGCUUCUGCCUCGGUUCGAUGAUUUUCUUUCCAUUGUUUUAGAUUUUAUUGAGAGAUCUCAGACGAACAACAAGAGAUCAGAUUUUCGAGAAAUAAACUGAUCAUGUCAUGUUUUUUUUUGUGUGUGGAUUUUGACUGCUUUUUUAUACAAUCGGCAUAGAACCAUGUCAUAGAUUAUCUAAGUUGACGGAGCUUCUUAUUUUUUGGAUUGAACAAUUUCAUUUAUU